AUGCAACGCAUGGCCACAUCAUACUUCAAGGAGGUUUAUACGAAAGAUCCAACUCUCAAUCUGGAGAGUGUCUUGGAGGGUAUCACAUCUAAGGUAACUCAAGGUAUGAACGAUACCCUAUGUGCUCCCUUCUCGGAGGAGGAGGUAUCAAAUGCCCUCUUUCAAAUCGGUCCGCUUAAAGCGCCAGGGAUGGACGGCGUCCCGGCGAGGUUUUUUCAACGAAACUGGGUCGUGCUGAAAUCUGAGAUCAUAGCUGUUGUGCUGGAGUUCUUUAAGUCAGGAGAUAUGCCGGACGGGGUGAACGACACGGCUAUCAUUCUUAUCCUGAAAAUUCCUUUUCCAAAGGAACUCAAGGAUUUUAGACCGAUAAGCUUGUGUAACGUCAUCUACAAGAUUGUUUCAAAAUGCCUCGUGAACAGACUAAGGACGUUGCUCGCGGAGCUCAUCUAA
rnacentral:rRNA from 1 species